rnacentral:lncRNA from 1 species
CAGUACUUGCAGUCGGUGUUCUUGCUGGUGUAGAGCUCGGCAAAACCCUCCUCCACCUUUACGCUGGGGUCGGGGCACGGGAGGCCAAACUGGCCGACGGGCUUGAGGAAGGCGGUUAUGUCGGCGAUCCACUCGAGCUUUGUGACGGUGCCUCUCCAGGCGACGGCGACGUCCCGGCGGCCGAUCCGCGCCGUCUCCUCGUCGGUGGAGACGGCGAUGAAGCCGAUGAAGGUGCCUGUCUCGCUCCACAUGCGGUCAUCGCUGGGGUUGUGCUUCUGGACGCCGAAGCUGGGGAAGCGGGCGUGGGAGGUGGCGUAGAGGUAGCGGGCUACCUCGUAGCCGACGCCGGUGAGACCGACGUCCUUGAAGAAGGUCUCCUGGGCGUACUUGCAGGUGCCGGCGUAGCGGGAGAAGCGGUCGUAGUCGAAGGAGUCGUAGCAGGCCUGCGAGAACUCGCCGUACCGGAUGAGCUCCCCGCGGAGCGUCCGGUCGAUGGGGUCCAGCAGGCCGUCCCAGUCGUUGCAGCCGUGCAUCUCCCGCCACCGGGACGUGAGCUCGCCGUCGGAGCGGCCGGAAUCCUCAGCGAGGGUGCCGCGUUCCAUGUCUCCGACGAAGGAGUCCGCCUUCUUCUCCUUUGUGGGUGGCGCUUUGUCGGCUGACACCGCCGACGUGAC